ACCCUCCCCAUGCCUUGCUUCCAGCUCAGACAGUGUUAAUAGCACAGCAACGUUCAGCUGCUGCUGAGUGGUGAGUGCUCCCCCAGGGUCAGGCAGGGGGUGUGAUGCAGCAGCUGGGCCACUGUGCCAGCUGUGCCAGGCCACAUGCAGCCUGCAGCCCAUGGGUUGGACAGCCCUGAAUAAGGACAAAUUAAACCAGUCUGAAAACCUACACAAACCACAAGUGGCUCGUGCUUCAAAUACAUCUCACAUGAAAAGGAAAUUUAUCCAAAGAUCGGCCCCAAACUUUUAGGGCACUCUGUGCAGAAUACAAGAUGUCCUUACUAAGCGGCUGAGGCUUAAAAAGAGAAUAACAUCAAAUCACACUUUGCCUAUUCCUCUGCACAACUACACAGGCAAAGCCCAAGCACUGCUAUGUUAUCACCAGACACACCACAAGGAGCACAACAACACAUCAGGAGAAGAAAUGCAAGAGUUUCUUUUGCUGCCUUUUCCAGCUCUGUGGACUGGGCACAGUACCAAAAACCAGAGCAAGAGAAUCUUCAAGGGAAACACUGCCAAACCUGGUUCAGAAAAGAAUGACUGGAAAAAAAUUCAGAAAAGAAUGACUGCAAAAGCCCCUGUUUCAGUCUCUUCAAUGGGAUUGGAAGAAGUAGCAACCAUAGAAUCCCAACAGUGAAUUCAUGAAUGAUGCAUUAAAAGAAAUUUCUCUCUGCCUGGUGCCUGGAGGGAAUAUCAGACAAGAUUGUGAGACCAUUGCUGGGCUGGGCUACUGGGUGCAAUAUGCAGCUUGGAUUUGGCCAGGAAAGUCUAUUAGUCUCAAAGCAAAUGUAUAAAACACAAUGAGAAAAAAUAAAGAGCU
rnacentral:lncRNA from 1 species